AAACCAACAGGGAUUGCCUUAGUAACGGCGAGUGAAGCGGCAAGAGCUCAAAUUUGAAAGCGAGAUUUCUCGCGUUGUAAUUUGAAGGCCCGUGUCAACCGACUAUAUUCAAGUCCUUUGGAACAAGGCGCCAUUGAGGGUGAUAGCCCCGUGGAAUAUUAAAGGUGACUACGGCACGGAGCCAACGAGUCGAGUUGUUUGGGAAUGCAGCUCAAAGUGGGUGGUAAACUCCAUCUAAAGCUAAAUACCGGCGAGAGACCGAUAGCGAACAAGUACAGUAAUGGAAAGAUGAAAAGCACUUUGAAAAGAGAGUGAAACAGUACGUGAAAUUGUUGAAAGGGAAGGGCUUGCAAGCAGACACGGUUUUACCGGGCCAGCAUCGGUAGAUACAGAGCGAAAAGGGGGGAAAUAUGUGGCGCUUUUUGCGUGUUAUAGUUUCCUCUGAUAACUCUGUUUCUUCCGAGGCCAGCGAUUCAUGGAUGUUGGCGUAAUGGUUGCAAGCCGC
rnacentral:rRNA from 1 species